rnacentral:piRNA from 1 species
UUCAUGUUGGAUCAUGGGCAAGCCACCAGU